rnacentral:tRNA from 1 species
GGUCCUAGCUCAGUGGUAGAGCGCUUGCCUGACACAUAUGAGGCCCUGGGCUCGAUCCUCAACACCA